CCUAUGGGAGGCAGCAGUGAGGAAUAUUGGUCAAUGGACGAGAGUCUGAACCAGCCAAGUAGCGUGAGGGAUGACUGCCCUAUGGGUUGUAAGCUUCUUUUGUAUGGGAAUAAAACGUUCCACGUGUGAGAUUUUGUAUGUGCCAUAUGAAUAAGGAUCGGCUAACUCCGUGCCAGCAGCCGCGGUAAUACGGAGGAUCCGAGCGUUAUCCGGAUUUAUUGGGUUUAAAGGGAGCGUAGGUGGAUUGUUAAGUCAGUUGUGAAAGUUUGCGGCUCAACCGUAAAAUUGCAGUUGAAACUGGCAGUCUUGAGUACAGGAGAGGUAGGAGGAAUUCGUGGUGUAGCGGUGAAAUGCUUAGAUAUAACGAAGAACUCCGAUGGCGAAGGCAGUUCACUGGACUGCAACUGACACUGAGGCUCGAAAGUGUGGGUAGCAAACAGGAUUAGAUACCCCUGUAGUC
rnacentral:rRNA from 1 species